AGAAGGGAGGUGGUCGCCCUCCGUCGUGGUCUGGCGUGUAUUCCGAGCGUUGGUGUCUGGCGGUUUCCGAGCGUUGGUGUCUGGCGGUUUCUGACCGUUGGUGUCUGGCGGUUUCCGACCGUUGGUGUCUGGCACGCGCCACCCUCUCUUGCUUUGGUUGCGCCAUGCCGAUGUACCAGGUAAAGCCCUAUCACGGGGUCUGCGCCCCUCUCCGUGUGGAGCCCACCUGCAUGUACUGGCUCCCCAACAUGCACGGCAGGAGCGGCGGCCCAGCACUUGGCACUGGCCACUUGCAGACAAGAAGACAAGAAAAUGAUUUGAGGACAGCUUCAAUCGCGGUGUGAAGAAGAAAGCAGCAAAACGACCACUGAAAACAACGCCGGUGGCAAAAUAUCCAAAGAAAGGGUCCCAAGCGGUACAUCGUCAUAGCCGGAAACAGUCAGAGCCACCAGCCAAUGAUAUUUUCAAUGCUGCGAAAGCUGCCAAAAGUGACAUGCAGCACCGAGAAGUCCGCGUGAAGUGCGUGAAGGCUCUGAAAGGGCUGUACGGUAACCGGGACCUGACCGCACGCCUUCACUGGCCGCUUCAAGGACUGGAUGGUUUCCAUGAUCGUGGACAGAGAGUACAGUGUGGCAGUGGAGGCCGUCAGAUUACUGAUACUUAUCCUUAAGUGAGUCCUGGGAAGAGGGGAGGCCAGUGUCUCAGACCUUUGCCCUUCCAGGGUCAUCUCCCUCCACCUGUCACAGCUGACUCUUCCAUCUGUGCAGGUUGACUGAGGUCAUUCCUGAGUUGCAGUAUGUUGAGAGGGUAAUAUUUCUGUCUUCUCUAACUCCCCAUACUCCCUUGUCUUCCACUCUCCACUUAGGAGUUUUUUGUGAGUUAUGUCCUUGUUGCUUUUGCCUCUUUUUCUUUCUAGCCUUGAUUGUGCCAGAAGACAAUGUCCCUAUUCACACACUCUUUCUGCUUUUCUGUGGGCAGGAACAUGGAAGGGGUGCUGAUGGACGUGGACUGUGAGAGCGUCUACCCCAUUGUGUAGGCCUCUAAUUG
ensembl:lncRNA novel transcript